rnacentral:rRNA from 1 species
GAUGAACGCUAGCGGCAGGCCUAAUACAUGCAAGUCGGACGGGAUUUGGGAGCUUGCCCCUAAUGAGAGUGGCGCACGGGUGCGUAACACGUAUGUAACCUACCUUAGUCAGGGGGAUAGCCUCUCGAAAGAGAGAUUAAGACCGCAUAACAUUAUUGAGUGGCAUCAUUUAAUAAUCAAAUAUUUAUAGGACUAAGAUGGGCAUGCGGAACAUUAGCUAGUUGGUAGGGUAACGGCCUACCAAGGCUACGAUGUUUAGGGGAUCUGAGAGGAUGGCCCCCCACACUGGUACUGAGACACGGACCAGACUCCUACGGGAGGCAGCAGUAAGGAAUAUUGGUCAAUGGGCGGAAGCCUGAACCAGCCAUGCCACGUGCAGGAAGACGGCCCUACGGGUUGUAAACUGCUUUUAUACGGGAAUAAACCUACUUACGUGUAAGUAGCUGAAUGUACUGUAAGAAUAAGGAUCGGCUAACUCCGUGCCAGCCGCCGCAGUAA